GCGGCGGACGGGUGAGUAAUGCCUAGGAAUCUGCCUAGUAGUGGGGGAUAACUUGCCGAAAGGUAAGCUAAUACCGCAUACGUCCUACGGGAGAAAGCAGGGGACCUUCGGGCCUUGCGCUAUUAGAUGAGCCUAGGUCGGAUUAGUUAGUUGGUGAGGUAAUGGCUCACCAAGACAGCGAUCCGUAACUGGUCUGAGAGGAUGAUCAGUCACACUGGAACUGAGACACGGUCCAGACUCCUACGGGAGGCAGCAGUGGGGAAUAUUGGACAAUGGGGGGAACCCUGAUCCAGCCAUGCCGCGUGUGUGAAGAAGGUCUUAGGAUUGUAAAGCACUUUAAGUUGGGAGGAAGGGCAGUUAACUAAUAUUUGACUGUUUUGACGUUACCGACAGAAUAAGCACCGGCUAACUUCGUGCCAGCAGCCGCGGUAAUACGAAGGGUGCAAGCGUUAAUCGGAAUUACUGGGCGUAAAGCGCGCGUAGGUGGUUCGUUAAGUUAGGAGUGAAAGCCCCGG
rnacentral:rRNA from 1 species